rnacentral:rRNA from 1 species
GACGAACGCUGGCGGCGUGCUUAACACAUGCAAGUCGAACGGUAAGGCCCUUCGGGGUACACGAGUGGCGAACGGGUGAGUAACACGUGGGUGAUCUGCCCUGCACUUCGGGAUAAGCCUGGGAAACUGGGUCUAAUACCGGAUAGGACUCCGGACUGCAUGGCCUAGGGGUGGAAAGCUUUUGCGGUGUGGGAUGGGCCCUCGGCCUAUCAGCUUGUUGGUGGGGUGAUGGCCUACCAAGGCGACGACGGGUAGCCGGCCUGAGAGGGUGACCGGCCACACUGGGACUGAGAUACGGCCCAGACUCCUACGGGAGGCAGCAGUGGGGAAUAUUGCACAAUGGGCGCAAGCCUGAUGCAGCGACGCCGCGUGAGGGAUGACGGCCUUCGGGUUGUAAACCUCUUUCAGCAUCGACGAAGCGAAAGUGACGGUAGGUGCAGAAGAAGGACCGGCCAACUACGUGCCAGCCGCCGCGGUAA